GGAGUUUUCCCAGUAUCUUAUGAAGGCUUGUGUUCCAACAAGAGUUAUAUUGUUUGAAUAUAGUUAAAGCUGGAGGAAAGGGACGUUCCGCUUGGUCCUCCUGAAAGCAGUUAUUCAGAUUGAGCCUUAGAACUGAGAGUGCUGCCGUCAUGCUGGGAAGACAAUGGGACCACUUUCUUGUGCCACACAUUGUUAUCUGUUGACUUGGUUGUUGUUGGUUAUGAGACUUCACUCUCAGCGCUGCACUAUCCAGGAUUGCUCAUGAAGGGGAAAAUUCCUCUGCGCUUAUACAUGUGUCUUUCUCUGACUUUAAUUUUUCCUUGAGAUUUUGUUUUCAACCCUUUCCAAGGGGGAAAACAUUGCUUCAUGCUUUUUCUGCUCCAAGUCUAUUAAUACAAAUGGCAGGGUUUUACUGAGAAGGAGAGGAGGUUAGAUGCUCAAGUCUGGCUGGCUGCUUAGUUCAAUAACAUAGCACUUCUCUAACAGUGAGACAUAGAAUUGUAACAGUUGGUGUCUCAAGAAAGAGAAUAAUUAGGCAGUUUCAAAGCCUUGUGAUUGAACUAUUUCAGAGGCGACUGUUGACUUUAAGUGUGGAUGUAAGUCUCAGGCAACCUUCACUUUGCUUGGAACUAUUGAAAACUUCAGCACCUUGUUCAAGUUGUUAAAAGCACCCUGAAGUUUGACUAUAUCAUAGACUGACUCCUAACCUCUGCUGUGUCCUUAGGAUAUUUGAGUAUCCUAGUGUGCGGCUUAAAUUUUUCAAAAAAAUUUCCUUUUGAUUCAUUUUAAUUAGAUGAGCAACAGUUUUCAUAUGCCAUAUUUUAUUGAUUUCAAGAUGCACAUUUCCCCCACAAUAGUCUUAACAAUUGAUGAUAUGAAAACAUGUCAUAGUUUAAUUGUGAGCAUUUUUCUUUCCUUAUGGUUCUUAAAAUGAAUGCUGUAUCUUACAACUGAUUGCAAAUUAGGUGCAGUAAACCAGUAACAACUUCAGGUAUGGUAAGAUCUUUCAAAAAUCAAACAGUAGAACAGUAGGGUACCACUUCACCAAAGUUAGAGAUCAUAAGCUUUAGGCUUAUGAUUAAGGCUUAUGACAAAACAACUUUGCACUUAUUAAAAAGAUACCUGUUUGUUGUCUUUGUUGUAUAUUUAGUUCAGUCCAGAAUAUUAUAAGUAGUCACAGCCAAUGAGAUUAUAAUACUCUUCAAAUCUGUAACUAUAGAAAUCUACACUUCCUGUGUCCUUGUGUUCUUACUGGGUGAGAGGAGGGGGGAGGGAUAGCAUUAGGAGAUAUACCUAAUGUUAAAUGACGAGUUAAUGGGUGCAGCACACCAACAUGGCACAUGUAUAUAUAUGUAACAAAUCUGCACAUUGUGCACAUGUACCCUAAAACUUAAAGUAUAAUAAUAAAAAAAAGAAAUCUACACUUGGGGCUGAUAAUUGUAAAGGCUUUUAACAUGAGGCAGAAAUUUAGUGAUUGAAGAUUUGCAGCUUUGCUCUGGUUAUCUGCUCUGUCACCUUUAAACCUUCAUUUCACUUGUAAAACAGAACACUAACAUUUUUUACUUCUUGCGUGACUGUCAUAUGGUGGGUGCAUUAACAGCUCUGAAACGUUUUUGUUUCUGAGAGGAAAGAUGGUGUGUAAAUAAACAUUGGAAUUAUGACUUUUUCUAUGUAGACUUUCCUGUGAAGCUUAAAAUAAGGAAAGGAAUAUUAGGGAUCUUUCUUUCUAGUGAUAAAUAUAAACAAAGCCAUUCUGUCAUCUCCCUUCUGCAGGAUGACACCAGUGGAAUCUCUCGACUCUCAAGGCUGAUAUUGAUGUAGUCCUCCACUAAAUGAAUUAUUUGGUACUGGAUGGUUACAGUUUUUGCAGUAAUUUAUUAGGAAUAAAAACCAUCUGCUAAUUCACUUCAAUCUUUUAUGUCUUGGGCAUUUGAUGUGCCUAUACCUUUGCUUACCCCUUAAGUUCACAGUGUUCAUGAAGGUGGUGCAGCGUUUUCAUUGUUCCUGUCCUCGCUUUCUUUACAGUAGCAGUCAUCUGCUCUUCAUAGAAACUCAGUUCCGACACACAGCAUGGACAGAGGAAACUGCAGUUUACUUAACGUAAACCUAGGUCUGCAGUUUCCUCUUCUUGUUAUAACAAUAAUGACCAAACCCUGAAGUUACAUACAGAUUUCCUUUCUUUUAUGAUUUUAAAAUGCUUCAUCGACUUCAUCCACCAUUCCUGGGCCAAAGCUAGUUAAGUCGACAGUGAUAAAAUUUGAGUUAGAAUCCAAGUUGCCUAUUGAGUCAUUCUUUUGACUAACCUUCAUUACUUUCCAGUUCUAGAAUGCCACAUAGAUGCCAAAGAGAGAGCUAAUUUGUAGCACUACUGCACAGGCAAAGACAUAAAUUUGAUAGAAUAAAGCCUUUGUUGCUGGUACAUCUUGUUACAAAUUGAAGGGGAUUACAGCUUUCUCAGUAGGCAUUUCUAAUAUUUUCUUAACUGCUAAAUGCUAUGAUUAUAAAUGCAUGCCAUUAGAGAAAUGCUUCACUCUAUGCUUUUGCCAAGGUGUUUCUGAAAUUUAAGAAGUUAAAUGUAUAAUUAUCGCAAGCUUCUCAGGAAGCACUCCAUUUUUCUAUUUUCUAUUAACUAGCUGUAGGCACAAUGAGCAAGCACUCAUUCCUAUGUGUUGAAAAUUAUUAUGGGAGGACUUUCAGAAGGGGAAAGAAAUGGGCUGUGUCUUCUAAACAUUAUGAUAGUAGAGUUAACAUUGAGUUGUUGGUUCUUUAAAGAAAUUAUCUCUUAUGUAGGCAUUGUAUUUCCUAGCCUUAAUUCUGUGACUGUGCCAACAGAGCAAGGGACAUGUGUUAUCAGAUGGGGACCUUUGAGCUUGACCCUGAAGAAUGACUAAUGGUCAUAGAAGAAGGCAGGGGACAGCAUUUCAGGCAGAGGGACCCAUGGGAAGACACAUGACUGCAGUCCUGGUGAUUCCUAGGGAAUGGAGAGGGGUGGGCUGGGAGUCAGCCUAAAAUUCCAUUAUGAAAGACUGGUAAGCUAAAAAAGUCUACCAGCUACCCUAAGGAGCUUAAACUUGCCUUUUGGCAAAGGAAAGCCAUCAAAGAAGGGAAGUGGCAUAAUAAGAUGUGGCCUUUGUAAGAUCUCUCUGGCAUUGCUUUAGAGGAAGAAUUGAGUGAAGAAGAGGGAAAUGUUGGAAAGAACCUUUAGAAAGCUACCAUACUGAGUCAAGUGAGAGGUGCCAGCCUGAACUGGGGCAAUGACCAUAAGAACUGAGGAGGGAGUAAAUGUGGAAAGUCAUUUACACAGUAAAAUUGACAGAAUUCAGUGACUAGUAAUGGGGGAUGUGCAUGCUAUUUUAUAUUAAGCAAUUUUUAAGGAUUCUUUGGUGUAGUGGCAGACGUAAGAAUGUUCUGUUUCUUACCACCUUUGCCAAAAAGCUACGUAAGCCAUUUCUCUUGCUUUGUUUGCCUGCAGUUUGCUUCAGGUAGCUGAGAUGUUAGUAUUUAUCUCACUGACAGAUUGUUAGAUGGGGUUCUGGCAAACACUAUGGGGACUACACAAACUUUUCUUUCCAGAACCCUUUGAAAAUACCUUAAACAGAGAGAAUCUCUGGUAGCUCCCAAAUAAACUGACAUAUUUGGCCAGAGCUUUGGCAUUUGCUGCAAUACGUGUGCCUUCCUCAGAAUUAACUGGGAUUUUAGGGUUGCUCUCCUGAUCUCUGUAACCUGAGUUGGUGUUACUAUACUUCUAUUCUAGAAUACUCUCUGUCGUCCAUUCAUUUGCUAACUUUUGUUUAAGCUGAUGUCAUAGAGGAACCAGACUAACUAUGGUGGGUCCCAACUAUGUGGCUCCUGCCCUCAAGAAGUAUAGUCUAGUUGUGGAGGAAAGAUAUCAACACAACUAACUGAGAUACAAGGAAGCAGUGAAGAGAAUCCCAAGAGAGAUACAUAGGAGUUUGAAGAAGAAUUUACACCUGAGAAAGCAGGAUUCUUUCAUAGGGCAGAAGUAGUUUGACCUGGACCUUAAAUUAGGUUUUGGGUUGGAUUUAAAGAAUCCACAUUGAAGAAGAGUAUUCCUAGUGGGAAGAAUAGCAUUAGAAAAUGCACAGAGAUACCAAAAUAUUAGAUGUUUUUUGGAACUCUGAAACGAUUUCAUGUUUCCAGAAUACCAAGAGUUGGGGGUGUGGGAGGGGAGGCAGGAGAAGGAAGAUUUCAUGAGAAAUGAGAUUGGGACCAGACUGUGGAGGAUUUUGAGGGCUGAGAAGUUUUACUUCAUUCUAGAAAUAAUGAGGAACGACUGAGCAUUUGUUUGCCUGCAAUUUGCUUCAGCCUCAUCCUGGAAUUCUGCCUACGUCAAAGGUUCCUUGUUUAAGGAUUACGAGGGGAGAAGUGGUUUGGAGUAUUCUGGCUACUGUCACACUUAUUUACAUAUUAAAAGUUGGUCUCUACCUUUUCCCAAAUUGCAUUUUGUCUCUUUUUAAGCAGUUAAAUAUAAGGUGAAAAUCCUCUUUUUACUCUAUAUGAAAUACUAAAAAGAAAAGAGGUUUUAUCAUUGUUUUCAAACUUAUAAUUGUACAUCUAGGUGAGUAGUUUCAAGCAAUCCCAGCAUUAUUUGAAGUUUAUCAGUAAUUUAGUUUAACCAAGAAACUGCUUACUAAAGAGAAGUAGAACUUUCUAACAUUACUGUAAUAGAAUUGAAAGUCACAACUAGGGUAUAAUAGGCAGUUCAUAAUACAUUAAGUUGCCCAAUUAUAAACUGAGAAAUCACCUCAUUGAAACCAGGUUAUUUUUCUUAAUAACAAAAUCCUGACUUUGUGUUGGAUUGGUAUUAAAGUAUCUUUUCAUUGGAAUUAGGCUUCCUGGAGUGAGUUAUUAUAGUCCAUUUUUAAUAGGGAAUAAUAUGGCCACAGAGUAACAAAAAAGUAGAAGUAGCUAGUUCUUGCCUCCAAGAAGUUUACAGUCUAGCUGGGGAAAGAAUUUAUACAUGGAAAACAGUUAACCAUUCAAGACAGCAUUUAAUGAAGUCUCUAAAUAAGACAUUUAGAGGGAAGUAAAAUCUGGCAAACACAUUUCACAACUGCAGCAAACCAUGCUCUUCUCAUUUAUUUAGGAACAAGGUUUACAAGUUUGGUUCACUGUGUGUGCUCUUUAAAUUCUAGCUUUUCCUCCAGAAAAAUAGCAGUUAACUGCCAGUGAAAGUCAGUGGUGUGCUCCUGCUGUCUGGUGGAACCAUCUGCUCAUUAGCUGUAUUUUUAGGUUUUCACAAGAAGCCCACUGCAAGUCCUAACAUAUUUAAAAAAUUAGUUUGAGCGGUUUUGAAGAGAGAAGAAUUUGUCAUUAUGCUAUUUUUUGACGGUGCUCAAGUUUAUUUUAAAAGGCUCAAUCAAGAACAUUGAUACUGGCUCAGUUUGUUUGAUUUAUCAAACUCAUGUUAUCAAAGGGUCCUUUUAUUCUCUGCUGUACAAAUGCUGCUCCUAGCUUUAUUAGGUUCUUAUUCUUGUAAAAUUAAAAUAGCCCUAUCAUCUGCAAUAUGGUUGAAAAAUCAUUAAAGUGAAGUAUUGAAAAGCAGGUUAUUUGCCACUGUUGUUUUGCCAUCACCCUCCUCCCCCAGUGGUAUAUCUCACUCCAGACCCCAGGUGACCUUAUAUUCUUUUCUUCUCUACCCCCAUCAAGGCCUGAUCUGCAUUAAUGUAACAGUGUUACUACCAUGUAGUCUGGUGUCUGAUCAGGCAACACUAGAAACUUUUGUCAGGCUAGUGUUAUUUGGGUUUAUAAUGAAUGUUUUAAGACAAAAAGUUUAGGGAAAGGAUGCACAGACAGAUGGAGAGUUGUUCAUGAUAACUGUGUACUGCCAAGGUUUGGAAAAAUAAAAAGAAGAGAUAUCAAGAAGUAAAGAGACAUAGGCAGCAAUUUACAGUGUGGCUUGGUUCCCGAAGGACUGCCCUGAUACAUCUCUGACCUCAUGAACUGAUGUUCUGCGAGAAACUCAGAGACUGAAUUCAGUUUACCUGUGUGGUCAGCAUCCAAGUGCUGUGGAAGCAUUUAACAGGGACCUUGGCUAGUCUAGGGAGUCAUGCACAUUUCCCUGAGAGAGAGAGAGAGACAGAAUCUGAAGGGUCAGGAGAGCUAUGAAAAGUGAGGAGGGAUGGGUGUUCCAGGCAGAGGAAAGAACACAUGUGAGGCCGGGCGCGGUGGCUCACGCCUGUAAUCCUAGCACUUUGGGAGGCCGAGGCGGGUGGAUCACGAGGUCAAGAGAUUAAGACCAUCCUGGCUAACACGGUGAAACUCUGUAUCUACUAAAAAUACAAAAAAUUAGCCGGGCAUGGUGGCGGGUGCCUAUAGUCCCAGCUACUCGGGAGGCUGAGGCAGGAGAAUGGCGUGAAUCCGGGAGGCGGUGCUUGUGGUGAGCCGAGAUUGUGCCACUGCAUUCCAGCCUGGGCAACAGUGCGAGACUCUGUCCAAAAAAAAAAAAAAAAAAAAAAAAGAA